UCGGGUUUCAGUACAUUGUGCUGCUUGGGAUAUUAUCUGUUUUUACUCUGUCCGUCCUGUUUUCGUAUCGCUGGUGCAAUCACGCAUGAGGCGGAUACAUGUGUACAUACCUGCAUGUUUCUUUCCACGGGAAGGGGAGUGAAUCCACAACAACACAUAUACGAAGGUUAACCUCCUCCUUUCAACCCUAUUUAAGGGAAAAGCUUUCCACAGACCCGCGCUACAACCCCUCUUGCACUUGCCCCAUACAGCAUCUAUAGCAAUGGUCUCUCAUACCUUCGUCCUCCUGUUCUGCGUUUACCUGUUUGCUGCAGCGUACGCUAUUUGUCCCAGCAAUGAUGGGCAGGUGAGCGACUGCGCCUUUGAAGCGUGUACGCCAGAACAAUGCGAACAAGAUGGCCUGGAAUGCUGUCCGAAGCCCUGCGGUGGAACAUGGUGUGUCGCAGGGGUGCCACUUCCUAGGAUGGACCCAGAAGCAAUCGAUACGGACAUCUACUCUCGUAACUACACGACUUCCACGCUGCCCGGAGUCGCAGCCUCUGAGUGAAUUUGAACUUUCCAAGAUAUCGGCCAGUUUCGUCCGUCUCGGUUGAUUUUAAGUGCAUAUUUCUAUAUACAUAUAUGCAACAUUCAAAUAAAUUUUAAUUCCUAGUGAAACAUUGA